rnacentral:rRNA from 1 species
GUACACGCUGUGACUAGCAUAUCAAUAAGCGGAGGAAAAGAAACUAACAAGGAUUCCCCUAGUAACGGCGAGUGAAGCGGGAAGAGCUCAAAUUUGAAAUCUUAAAGGGUUUCCCUUUACGAAUUGUAGUUUAAAGAAGUGUUUUCUGUUGAGGUUUUGGUAAAAGUUCUUUGGAAUAGGACAUCAUAGAGGGUGAGAAUCCCGUAUUUGACCUUUACUUUCAACUUUGUGAUACACUUUCAAAGAGUCGGAUUGUUUGGGAAUGCAGUCCAAAAUGGGUGGUGAAUUUCAUCUAAAGCUAAAUAUUGGCGAGAGACCGAUAGCGAACAAGUACCGUGAGGGAAAGAUGAAAAGAACUUUGAAAAGAGAGUUAAACAGUACGUGAAAUUGUCAAAAGGGAAGCGUUUGACACCAGUGUUGUUUUUCUGAAAAUCAAUUAAAGAACUGUUUAUGCUAAGCUGUUUAGACUUUAUCAGCUAACUGUUUAGUUUUGAGCUUUUCUUUAAUGCACUUUUCAGUUAACAAGUCAACAUCAAUUUCUUUUGCUGUAAAAAAGCUUGAGGAAGGUGGCUUGAGAUUCGUCUUAAGUGUUUAUAGCCUCUUGCCUAUGCAGUCGGAGAGAUUGAGGUCUGCAGCGUAGAUCCUUCGGGGCUAAAUGCAUUUGUGCUAAGUUAUAACAUUUUAUAGACAACUUGUUGACUAUGAUUUGUCUUGUAGCUUACUCGCUUAUGUUAUUUUACCUACGCUUAGGAUGUUGACGCGCGUGUGUGCGUG